UACGUAGGGUGCGAGCGUUGUCCGGAAUUAUUGGGCGUAAAGGGUGUGUAGGCGGUUGUUUAAGUUUGGUGUGAAAUCUCCCGGCUCAACCGGGAGGGUGCGCCGAAUACUGAAUGACUAGAGUGCGGGAGAGGAAAGUGGAAUUCCUGGUGUAGCGGUGAAAUGCGUAGAUAUCAGGAGGAACACCCGUGGCGAAGGCGGCUCUCUGGGACGGUACUGACGCUGAGACGCGAAAGCGUGGGGAGCGAACAGG
rnacentral:rRNA from 1 species